UAGCUCACCUCUCUGGUGUUGUUCUCAUCUGAUUAAUCUAGUUCUUGCCAGUUCUUCCUAAACUUCUUAUUAGAUAUUGAGUCUGUAUUUCUAUGUCUGUGACACAAAUAUAUAUUUAUUCUAAUAAUUACAUAUAUGAUUAAGUUGAUUAGAUAAAAGUAAAUUAAUUACAUAAUAAUUUUCUAGAAAAAGCUUCCUAGAAUCUUUAUAAACGAUGCUUUGAUAUUAUAUUUGUCAAUAGUUAAUUGAUAAGUUAGAAA
rnacentral:lncRNA from 1 species